rnacentral:lncRNA from 1 species
UUCUAUUUUCAGCAUUAAUAAUGCAGAUAUGCAGUGCUUUUGUGUGAUUAAAAAUAACAUUUGGGUUUGAAUGAUUUGUAGGGUAUUGUUUUGUUUUCUUUUGUUUUGAAGAUGUUUAGGAUUCAAACUCGAUUUUGGCUUUUGGACUAUGUCUGAAACUUAGGAAUUUCAUGAAUUAUGCGUCUUUCUUUAAUUAUCCUAUGCAUGUAAUUUAUAUGCCAUUUUGUAAAAACUUGGGCCUUUUUAUGUGUGUUGCUUCUAGUAUUUUGCAUUUUGGAUAAC